rnacentral:rRNA from 1 species
UACGUAGGGUGCAAGCGUUGUCCGGAAUUAUUGGGCGUAAAGAGCUCGUAGGCGGUCUGUCGCGUCGGCUGUGAAAACCCGGGGCUCAACCCCGGGCCUGCAGUCGAUACGGGCAGACUAGAGUGCGGUAGGGGAGACUGGAAUUCCUGGUGUAGCGGUGAAAUGCGCAGAUAUCAGGAGGAACACCGGCGGCGAAGGCGGUUCUCUGGGCAUGACCUGACGCUGAGGAGCGAAAGUGUGGGGAGCGAACAGG